ACGCACAUUCGCACAUCGGUGGUUUCCAUGGACACGUGACGCGCACGUUAGCCUGCUGUUGCUAUGCUUACUGCAAGCGAAGAACCUUCUCACAGCUUCAGCGACAUGUUCCAUACCAGCCGUUAUUGAACACGGAUCAGUCUCAUCAGCGAACAACGUGCACACAGAGGGCAGCACCGCCGCAGUAACAUGUGAGCAUGGCUUCACAGCAACGACCCACGUGAUCACGUGCAGGCUCGGCACAUGGGAGCCCGCAGAUUUUGCGUGUGUUGUCGACUGUACGGUCCCACCUAUAGUCGCUCACGCAGCGUUCACUUGGUUUCUCCACGUGACGGAGGAGGACGCCCAGCCGCCGGUAGAUGGCGCUGCGAUG